GGGGCUCAGUGGUAGAACCUCUGCUUUCCAUGCUGAAGGUCAUAGGUUCAAUUCCUAGCAUCUCCA
rnacentral:tRNA from 1 species